CCCAACUCUAUCCUCCCCACCACCCGACUGACUAAACCCCCAGACGUCCCGGAGGUUUCAGCAGCAGCACGAGAACCACGGUGAUGGGCGCCGUGACAAUGGCGAGCAGCUCCCUGGUCCUCCGCCCGCGGGCGUCGUCGUCGUUGCCGAGCACGAGUCCUCGUCGUGCGCCCACGCGCCGGGCGGCAUUGCCCGCCCCGCGGCGCCUCCGGGCCGCGGCUGCUGAAACUCCUCCGCGGGAGGGGGGGCUCUCCGUGGUGGUGGCCGGCGAGACGAGGUCGGCGACGACGACGCGGCUCUACUCGCUGGCGCCGUACCCGCUGCUGCUGGCGGCGCUGCUGCCGGGGGCGGAGCCCAUCAGCGCGGCCUUCGAGCCCUUCGUGGAGCUGGUCAGGACCUUGAGCCUCCCCGACUGGCUCGUGCACUGGGGCCACCCCGGCAACAUGGCCGUGGUGCUGUUCGCAAUGGGUGGGUACGGGACAUACCUCGGAUUCAGGAUCAAGCUGUCUGACGACCCUGAGGAGAAGGCCAAGGCCAAGGACCUCCACCCCAAGCUCCUCGGCGGCAUGUUCUUCUUCUUCGCCCUCGGCGCCACAGGCGGGGUCACCGCCCUCCUCACCUCCGGUAAACCCAUCUUCGAAAGUCCUCACGCGGUCACCGGGGUCAUCGGCCUUGCGCUCCUCACCGUGCAGUCUCUCCUGCCAACAUUGUUUGAGGGGAACCCUGGGCUGAGAGGCGCGCACGGCCUACUCGGCAGCAGCAUCAUGACGCUCUUCCUUUUCCACGCCGCGUUUGGGCUGCAGCUUGGCCUCAGCUUCUAAUUAGCUCGUGCGUGUGUGCGUAGCUGGUGUUAAUUCGUUUGGGGUUUGUUUCUGUGUUUGUGGUUGCUUAGAAGAAGUAAAUUCAUCUCUCACAGUUUCAUCCUUGUCUUUGUUAGCUAGCAGUAAUACUGUCAAGAAAACGAUAUCCCAACUUACCUACGUGCAGGUAUGCAUUACAACAUAAUUUCUUCCCAGAACCAUGUACUGCAAUGUGUAUGAUCUUUUCUAGAA
rnacentral:rRNA from 1 species